rnacentral:rRNA from 1 species
UAACCGCUGAAAAAGCAUCUAAGCGGGAAACUUGCCUCAAGAUGAGAUCUCACUGGGAACUUGAUUCCCCUGAAGGGCCGUCGAAGACUACGACGUUGAUAGGCUGGGUGUGUAAGCGUUGUGAGGCGUUGAGCUAACCAGUACUAAUUGCCCGUGAGGCUUGACCAUAUAACACCCAAACA